GAUGAACGCUGGCGGCGUGCUUAACACAUGCAAGUCGAACGGAAAGGCCCAAGCUUGCUUGGGUACUCGAGUGGCGAACGGGUGAGUAACACGUGGGUGAUCUGCCCUGCACUUCGGGAUAAGCCUGGGAAACUGGGUCUAAUACCGGAUAGGAUCACACCUUGGGUGGUGUGGUGGAGAGUUUUUCGGGGUGGGAUGAGCUCGCGGCCUAUCGGCUUGUUGGUGGGGUAACGGCCUACCAAGGCGUCGACGGGUAGCCGGCCUGAGAGGGUGUACGGGCACCUUGGUACUGAGGUACGGCCCAGUCUCCUACGGGAGGCAGCGGUGGGGAGUCUUGCACAAUGGGCCCACGCCUGAUGCAGCGACCCCGCGUUGGUGAUGACGGCCUUCGGGUUGUAAACUGCUUUCGCUAAGAACGAAGCGCAAGUGACGGUACCUGGAGAAUAAGCACCGGUUAACUACGUG
rnacentral:rRNA from 1 species